rnacentral:rRNA from 1 species
GAUGAACGCUGGCGGCGUGCCUAAUACAUGCAAGUCGAGCGAACGGACGAGAAGCUUGCUUUUCUGAUGUUAGCGGCGGACGGGUGAGUAACACGUGGAUAACCUACCUAUAAGACUGGGAUAACUUCGGGAAACCGGAGCUAAUACCGGAUAAUAUUUUGAACCGCAUGGUUCAAAAGUGAAGGACGGUCUUGCUGUCACUUAUAGAUGGAUCCGCGCUGCAUUAGCUAGUUGGUAAGGUAACGGCUUACCAAGGCAACGAUGCAUAGCCGACCUGAGAGGGUGAUCGGCCACACUGGAACUGAGACACGGUCCAGACUCCUACGGGAGGCAGCAGUAGGGAAUCUUCCGCAAUGGGCGAAAGCCUGACGGAGCAACGCCGCGUGAGUGAUGAAGGUCUUCGGAUCGUAAAACUCUGUUAUUAGGGAAGAACAUAUGUGUAAGUAACUGUGCACAUCUUGACGGUACCUAAUCAGAAAGCCACGGCUAACUACGUG